AUUAUAUUAUGUAAAGUGAGAUAAUAUUAAGUGAUAAAUUUUAUAAAUGAUGACGUCACGCCCGCCAAAGGGAGGCUUGGAACACAUACAGGAAGCAUCUCUUUGCUCCUGUGAUGCUAAGUAAACAUCAAUUUGGAUUUAAGUUUGAAUUAUUUGGUUACUCCUGCCUGAUAACACUUUUGCCUGUAUCAGAAACCACUAAUAAAGUAAUUUUAUUAAAUAAAGGCUCCUUCAUUUCAAUUUUAAGUAUAAAAUAAAUACUUUGAUUAAACAUAUCAAUUAAGCAAUCAAUAAAAAAAAGGAUAGGAAGUGAUGUAAUGGGUUGGGGAGCUUAAAUAGGGAGAUUGUGAGCUCAGCUAUUAUUCCACUAUUGGAUCCCUAUGCAUGCAGACCUAUAGGACUAUUGCUGGAAAACAAAAGGGGAUUGAUCACAUCCAGUCCAUAGGUGGAUUCUUGUGUUAUACAGACAUAUAGAAAAACUGCGGGUAAGCUAUGUUAAAAAUAUAUCCCUACUUUAUUGCGGUCUAAAGGGGAAUUUACAUUAAUGCUUUGUUUUUGUUAGGAAUAAAAACUUAACGAGGCUUGAUAAACAACUCAUAUAUACGUAAUUUGGAGAGAAAAAUAAUUCACCAGGUGGCCUUAAAUAAGAAACCCCACUAAAUGUCAUCAUAUCAUGGGAGCCUCUUUUCUCAAGUUUUCUAAUUCAUUUUACAAACAAUUCCUAGUAAGUAUAUUCAAACAAAAGAAGUGUCAUAAUAAA